rfam:Glycine soja cultivar W05 scaffold3070_10, whole genome shotgun sequence.
AUCUCAUUGGAUGAUGAUUGCCACGAGUCAUGUUUUGAUUGGAUGUCAACUAUAUGAAAGAUGAAAUGCAUUGUUGUUUUCAUUGACCAAUUAGAACAUGACAUGAAACCGUCAUCAUCC